AUUUCGCUACAACAUUCCAUUCUGAUUCCAUUCCAAUGAUUGAGACGCUUGCUGAAGAGUAACCAAAGAGGACGGCUGUCACAUAGUCACUCACUGACAUUUUGCGUGGCUACAGACUGCUCGACGUGGGAGAAGACCAUAUUUUCAGUACAGAGCAAAUCUAAAUGGCUCAAUAGGCUCCUUGAGGCUGGAGACAUCACACCUCAGGAGGUGCAGCUAUUCCAACAGGCAGCACACAGGCUGUGGAGUAUGGCAUCAAUAAACUCCCUCUGAAGGAGGCUCUUCUGAGGCAUACAAGAUUUGUGGAUGUGCAGCAGAGGACUGAGUGUGGGGUGGAAGAUGCCCUAUACUUUAUAGACAGAUUUCAGGAACUACUACCUUUCCAUGGGCUGGAGGAACAGGACAAGGUGUGUGAGCAGUUCCUGGAAUAUCAGCUGAUGGAUAUCCCCAUGCCCCAAGAUCCCACCACCUUUAAUGUUGAGGAGUUUUGGGGGAGUAUGUCCUCAAUCAAGUGCAAGGUGACCGGUUUGAGCCAGUUUGGGAGGCUCACUAAAAUAGCUCAACUUGUUCUAGUGCUCCCUCACUCUAAUGCCGACGCGGAGAGGGUUUUCUCGAUGGUUGGACUGAACAAGACAAAAACUAGGAACAGCUUGGCCCUAGAUGGAACACUGUCCUCCAUCAUGACAGUGAAGAUGGCAGGCCUGGAACCAAACUGUUUCAGAUGGGAGCCACCAACCCCAGUGCUGAAGGCCUCAAAAACUGCCUAU